CAUGCUAUUUUCAAGCACAUAUCUCCAACUUUGUGUGUGGCGUUCACUAUAUUGUGUGGGGAAUUCUCGGCACAGACAAGGUGAUUAGUGCUUCACCAAUCAUUGACAGAGAAUUCGAGGCCCAGAAAAGGGAGAUGGUUUCUUGAAGGCCAUCUUCACCAGUUCUAAUGGUACCAGGGCAUCUGCUAGGGCAAUUCAUUACACAGAGGGGGUCAAAGGACUGCAAGCAAAUGACACGAUCACCACCAGUCGUGAUUCAGAGAGAUAAUAAUGGAGGAGAGAAGAGCCCGGCAUGCUGUGGUCCAUGGAAUCACAAAGAGCUGGACA